ACGAUCCCUGUGGGAGAGACCGCCUUUCUCUUAUUCGCUUAAGAGGGGGCGGCGCCGAAGGAGCAACCGGCCCCGGAAACUCUCAGGCAAACGGACCGCAGGAGGAUG
rnacentral:ncRNA from 2 species